UGGCGAACGGGUGAGUAACGCGUGAGGAACCUGCCUCAAAGAGGGGGACAACAGUUGGAAACGACUGCUAAUACCGCAUAAGCCCACGGCUCGGCAUCGAGUAGAGGGAAAAGGAGCAAUCCGCUUUGAGAUGGCCUCGCGUCCGAUUAGCUAGUUGGUGAGGUAACGGCCCACCAAGGCGACGAUCGGUAGCCGGACUGGGAGGUUGAACGGCCACAUUGGGACUGAGACACGGCCCAG
rnacentral:rRNA from 1 species